rnacentral:tRNA from 1 species
ACAUCGGCGGUUCAGUGGUAGAAUUCUCGCCUUCCAUGUGGGAGACCCAGGUUCAGUUCCUAGCCAAUGCA